rnacentral:rRNA from 1 species
AGUGGGGAAUUGUUCGCAAUGGGCGCAAGCCUGACGACGCAACGCCGCGUGGAGGAUGAAGGUCUUCGGAUUGUAAACUCCUGUUGCCCGGGACGAAUGGCUCCAACCUAACACGUUGGAGUGUGACGGUACCGGGUGAGGAAGCCCCGGCUAACUCUGUGCCAGCAGCCGCGGUAAUACAGAGGGGGCAAGCGUUGUUCGGAAUUACUGGGCGUAAAGGGCGCGUAGGCGGCCUUCUAAGUCGAACGUGAAAUCCCCGGGCUCAACCCGGGAACUGCGUCCGAUACUGGAAGGCUUGAAUCCGGGAGAGGGAUGUGGAAUUCCAGGUGUAGCGGUGAAAUGCGUAGAUAUCUGGAGGAACACCGGUGGCGAAGGCGACAUCCUGGACCGGUAUUGACGCUGAGGCGCGAAAGCCAGGGGAGCAAA